UUGCAUUUCAAUCGAAGGUCAUGGAGAUCAAUUUACGUAAAACGUAUCAUGCAGUGGUGUAGAGGUUGGGUGAGAACGGGACGUUUUUCAUCAUUAUCAAGAAGGUAGAAUAGCCGCAAGGUUCUAAAGGUGAGGGUGAGAAAAAAUCGUAUAAAAGGAGAGAGAAACGGCCACUGGAAAUCAGUCGAGUGGGCAUCUCCGACCCGACAACAACUGUAAUAUUUGUUACCAAGAACUGCUUUCUUCCCAUUCGUAUUCGAAGUUAAUUAUGGCGUCGUUCUGCUGUUGGUUAUCGUUGUGUCGAUCAGUGGUGUACCGAUGUCUCCUGGGUAUGGCGGAUAUCAAACCGCAACGCCGCCGUCUUACUAUCAAACGCAAACGACCAGCUACUACACCGAGGCCCCCAACUACUACACUGAGAAGGCCGAAUAUUACACAGCUACGUAUGCUGCCCCAGUUUACUACACCGACGGGCCCAAGUAUUACUCUGCUCCAAGCUACUACCAAACAGAGGCUUCUGACUACACCGAGGCCCCCGAGUAUUAAACUACAACCUACGCUGCCCCCAGCUACUACACUGGAGCUCCGAAGUACUACUCCACCAAGGCAAUUGAACACCUUCCUACGCUUCUCCACAUUACUACACACGGCACCGACUGUAGUGCUCUAUUAGUCACCAACUGCAGUCUUGAUCGUGCAACCAAUUCGCAAUCAUGCUUAGUUUUGACGUCGUGCUGCUGUUGGGUGUUCUAUCGUUGCUAGCGGGUCGACCACUGGUGUAUCGAACUCCACCGAGGUUGGGUGAGGACUGUACGUGUUGCAUCACUCUCAAGUGGGUGCAAUAGCCGUGAGGCUCAAGAGGUGAAUCAGGAUGAGAAAGUCGUAUAAAAGGAGAGGGAAAGGGCGAUGGAGAUCAGUCGAGUGAGCAUCUCCUACUCGGCAACAACUGCAGCACAAUAUUGGUCAUCAACUGCAUUCUUCCAAUUCUCAAUCAUGGUUAACUAUGGCGUCGUUCGUUGGUUAUCGUUUAUUGCCGAGUCUAUUAAUGUUGUAUCGAUGUCUCAUGGUUAUGGAAGAUACCAAACCGCAACGUCAGCGCCUAACUACACAACAUAGGCGACAGCCAGUUACUACACGAGGCCCACAAGUACUACUCCAAUCCCAGCUACUAUACCGAGGCUCCAGCUUAUUACACCAUCGAGGCCCACAAAAACUACACUACCAAGGCAUUGGAGUAUUACACCACAACCUGCGCUGCUCCAGACUACUACACCGAGGCUCCCAAGCACUACACCAUCAGAGAACCGGAGUACUACGCGGCUACGUAUGCUGCCCCAGCUUACUACACCGAGUCUCACAAUUAUUACUCUGCUCCAGCUUACUACACCGAGACUACCAAAUACUAUUCAGCACCCAGCUACAUACCUACAACUACACAGCGGCUGCUUCAUCGUACUACGUUGAUCCGAAUUGCUACUCCGAGGUUCCAGUUUACUACACCAAAAUCUAUGCUUUCCCCCAGCUGCUACACUGAAGCUCCUGUUCACUGCAACACAAAGGUAUCCGAGUAUUACACCGCUACUUAGGCUGCUCCGACCUAAUGUACCGAAGCUGCGAAGUAUUCCACUGCCCCAAGCUACUACACCAUUAAGGCACCUGAAUGUUACAUCACAACCUAUGCUUCUCCAGCCACUUUGUAACUUGAAAUUGAUAUUUAACGAGAAUAAAUUUUUUAAUGCGAGCAAUUAUCUUGUAAGACUUCUCAACACCUCCAAGCAUUUUAACAUUGCAUCCAUGCAUCGUAUUCUGAUUUUCAUUUUGAGAAGAACGACUGUUGCCUAAGUCGCUUAAAACAAGAACACUCGGAUGCUUAGACGUAUUUCAUUUUCUGGUCGAGUGAAGAAAAAGACGUACAACUUAGUGUUUUUUUUUUUUUACUCUCUUACUCUUGUAUUUUUAUUUAACUUAGCGUAACAAAUAGACUAUGACAAAUUGUGUGUUUGCUUCUACAUAGUCUUUGUUCUCCGGACUCUGCCAAUAAAUUUUCUAAUUCCCUUUAA